UCUAGGUUUGUUAAACGCGAGCAGGGUCCUGUUUGCCUUCCUCGCUAGAUUAUACUCCUUGACAUCGUGGUUUUGCGAUUUUCGGCAUUAAAUUUAUUCAUACUUCAACGCUAUUCAAGAUACGCUAAUGAGAGAAAAACUAGAAGUGUCGUGUAUCACAUGGAUCAGGAAUGUAAUCGGAAUUUCGAUUCACCUUGGUAGGUUACUUAAUGUUGAUGGACUUCCAUUACAGCAGAACAAUUACAGCUAGUACUUGCAGCAGUUACAACUCGUGAACAAAGUUGAAGUUCCGUGAAAAAUGCACCAGCAGCCACAAAGUAGUGGGUCCACAAGGGCUGG